rnacentral:rRNA from 1 species
CUACGGGGGGCUGCAGACGAGAAUCUUCCGCAAUGGGCGCAAGCCUGACGGAGCAAUGCCGCGUGAGGGAUGACGGCCCUAGGGUUGUAAACCUCUGUCAGAAGGGACGAAGAACGUGACGGUACCUUCAGAGGAAGCCAUGGCUAACUACGUGCCAGCAGCCGCGGUAAUACGUAGAUGGCGAGCGUUAUUCGGAUUUACUGGGCGUAAAGGGUCCGUAGGGGGUCUGCCAAGUCUGAUGUGAAAUCCUGCGGCUCAACCGCGGAACUGCAUUGGAAACUGGCGGACUAGAGUGUGCGAGGGGUGAGCGGAAUUCCUGGUGUAGCGGUGGAAUGCGUAGAUAUCAGGAAGAACACCGAUGGCGAAGGCGGCUCACUGGCGCAUCACUGACCCUGAGGGACGAAAGCGUGGGUAGCAAACAGGAUUAGAUACCCCCGUAGUC